rnacentral:tRNA from 1 species
ACCUGACUGGCUCAGUUGGUAGAGGAUGUGACUCUUGAUCUUGGGGUUGUGGGUUCAAGCCCCAUAUUGGGUG